AGGGCCGCGGUACUUUGACCGUGCGAAGGUAGCAUAAUCAGUAGCGUUUUUAAUUGAAAGCUUGUAUGAAUGGUUGGAUGAGGGACAGACUGUCUUCUUUUUAUUAAAAGAAUUUAACUUUUAAGUGAAAAGGCUUAAAUUUUUUGGAGUGACGAUAAGACCCUAUAAAACUUUAUAUAGUUCUUGUUUUAUUGCUAAUAAAGUUUAACACAAUUUACUGGGAAUUGUAUUUCGUUGGGGCAACGUUGAUAUAAGUUAAUAUAAUUGUUUUAUGGAUUUAAUAAUGAUUAUUAGAUUUUGAUCCUUUAUUAGGGAUUAAAAGGUUAAGUUACUUUAGGGAUAACAGCGUAAUUUUCUUUGAGAGUUCUUAUCGACAAGAUUAGUUGCGACCUCGAUGUUGAAUUAAAAUUUCAGGUUGGUGUAGCCGUUGGCCUGGUAGGUCUGUUCGACCUUUAAAAUUUU
rnacentral:rRNA from 1 species